CUACAGCCAUCCCUAGCGGACUCAACAGCAGGAGGCACCCCAUGUUUAUCGAUACUGUCGUACUGGCCGGCAUCGGCACAGUCGGGCUGAUGGUCGCGUUCUUCGCGGGUGUUGGUUACUUCAUCUGGAAAGACUCGCACAAGCGCAACAAGCUGCGCUGAGUCCGCAGGCAACAGGCACGCAAGGCAAUUUGGGCGACUUCGGUCGCCUUUUUUUGUG
rnacentral:sRNA from 1 species